AGAUCUAGCUUUGGCGGAGUGGUUAACGCGCUGCCCUGCUAAGGCAGUUCCUUCGGGAGCAUGUGGUACGACCGCUAAUGAAUAUCCCGAUCGGGUCUA
rnacentral:tRNA from 1 species